rnacentral:rRNA from 1 species
CCAAUAGCGUAUAUUAAAGUUGUUGCAGUUAAAAAGCUCGUAGUUGAAUUUCGGGACCAAUAUGUCGGUCGUGCUUCGGUACGUACUUGCAUUAUUGGUUUCUCCCUUCUGAAGAACCAUGAUGUCAUUAAUUUUGGUGUCUUGGGGAAUCAGGACUGUUACUUUGAAAAAAUUAGAGUGUUUAAAGCAGGCUCACGCUUGAAUACAUUAGCAUGGAAUAAUGAAAUAGGACGUUUGAUUCUAUUUUGUUGGUUUCUAGGAUCGACGUAAUGAUUAAUAGGGAUAGUUGGGGGCAUUAGUAUUCAAUUGUCAGAGGUGAAAUUCUUGGAUUUAUUGAAGACUAACUACUGCGAAAGCAUUUGCCAAGGAUGUUUUCAUUAAUCAAGAACGAAAGUUAGGGGAUCGAAGACGAUCAGAUACCGUCGUAGUCUUAACCAUAAACUAUGCCGACUAGGGAUCGGAUGAUGUUAUUUUUGAUGACUCAUUCGGCGCCUUACG